GGCGGGGGCGGGAUGAGAGGCUGGCGAGAGCUUGGAGGCGGAGGUGUGGAGGGACGGGGCGGGACUUGGGAAGGGGCGGUGCUGUGAGAACUGCGGGGGCGGAGUCGGAGGCGGGGCUAGGACUUGGGCCAGCCGGGCAGUGACUGGUCGCGGGCAGUGUCGAAGGCGGGUCUUAGGAGGGGAGGGGCGUGGCUGGAGAACGUGCUGGUGAGGCAUCAGGAGGGGGGCUGUGGGAGGAGCAGGGCGGAGCUACAGGAGAUUCCGAGGAAGCGAUUGGCAGAAGAGAAGGGCAGGAAAGGGCAGUGCCCUGACAAGCAUGCUGGAGAGGAGUGGGGGCUUGGCUGUUGGAGGGAAAGGACGGACUAGUGAGGCCGUGUGGGCGAGGGGUAGCGGGUAGGGCUGCGGGAGGAAAGGGGGAGCUGUGCAGAACUUCCGGGGAAGGAGUUGGGGCGGGGCCCUGAGAAGGUUCUGGGUCAGGGGCGGGUCUGAGGCGUGGGGGCGUGGCGGGAAACGUGCAAGGGCCUAUCCGCGGGGUGGGACUGUGGGAGGGGCGGGGCGGGGCCAUGCGGGACUUCCGGGGACGCUCUUGGGGCGGAGUUGAGAGCGGGAGAGGCGGGGCAGAGACGUGUAGGGGCGGUGCCGGGGUGGGGCUGCGAGAGCCUGGGGAGGGAGGGAGGGAGGGAGGGAUGGGGCGGAACUUGGGAUGCCUGGGCGGGAAUGGAGGGCAGGCUGCGGGUGGGGAAGCGGCAGCUGUGACUAGGUCCUGGGUAGGAGUCUGGGGCUAGGCUGGGGCUGGGGUGGGUGAGGGGAGAGGGAGCAGGGCUCUGAGGAAGUGCUGGAGGAGUGGCUGGGGCCGGGCCGUGGCUGUGGCAGAUGGGAGCCAAGGUUUCUGAGAGUGCUGGCGGGGGAGGAGCUGAGCUCUGUUUGACGGGUAGAAAGAGGUGGAGCUGUCGCCGGAGGACCUUGGCUAGGCUGUGGCUAAGAGCUCGCUCGCAAAGGAGCAGGAGUUGCAGCAGGCCAGAGGGGUAGGCAGAGCUGCACUGAGGAGGUCGGUGGCUCUGGGAGCAGAGGUGGAAGAGGGGCUUAGGCGGAGCCCUGGCGAAGAGUUGGGGGAGCUGCUGGGUGUGCAAGAGCCCUGUAAAGAGGAGCAGGGGCAGAGCUGCAGGAAGCCUCGGGGAGAAGCUGGGUGUACAAGAGGGGGGGCAGCUGCACAGGACUGUUGGAGAUGACUUGCAGGGGGCAGCGGGGCUGCGGGAUGGAGCCCAGCAAGUGGGGAGCCAGCUGGGCGGGGAGCCAGCAUAGUACCCUGGAGGAGGAGCUGGGGCUGAAGUGCCCCCUGGAGGGAGGCAUCCUUCACCCCCUGGAGGAGCAGGGGCCUGCUGGGCAGCUGUGAGAAAGCUGGAGGCGGGGCAGAGAGCAGGGCAGAGCCCUGGACAAGCAGGGAGGCUUGUGUGCUCAGCCCCUAGGCAGGAGUCAAGAGUGGCAGCCCGCGGGUCCUCAGGACAUAAGCCAGCUCCCAGCGUGUGUGCCAGAGGGUGUCGGCGGCCAGAGGGGCAGGCAGCCUUGCCUGAGGCUCUUGGAAGCCAGGCCUGUAAUUGCUCUGAAGGGCCUGUUCCUGCCACUGUUCCUCCAGGCAAAGCCGGUCCUGACUCUUUUCCGUAAGUGUGCCUGGGACCAUGGUAGCUGCUUGGUAGAUGGGGAAUUGACAAAACACUGCACUCUCUCUUCUUUUCUAGGGGGAGGCACCUACUCUUCUGGAGGGAAGCUUGAGCAACAAGAAUGCUGCAGGGGAGGGGAGGGCCAGAGGGUACCUUCUUCCUGGAAGGUAAGCCUCAGGGCUGCAAGGGUCCUGAGAGGUCUCCAACCCCGACUGCCGGCCGUGCACGUCCACAGCCUUGGUUAUUUGCCUUUCAGAUCCCUCCUUCUCUCCAGCCCUUCUUUCCCCCUCCCCUCUCCUUCCCCCCUCCCCGGGGCACUCGUUUCAUCCUCUCUUUGCAGGGCUGCUCUGGACGCAGUGUGGACCCAGGUGCUCUGAAUUGUAAGUAACCCUGAAGGUCCUGGAAUGGCCCACUGUUGCUCCCUCUGCAGGCUGUGAAACCCAUCCCCUCUGGCGGCCCGCAGACUCCUUGCAGCUGGAAGGAGCCUUGCUUGGGCGUCACGUGUCCAGCACUCUGCCCUUUAGCUAGGGGGCCCUUCCUGACUCUCCCUUCAUUCGUUCACAGUUUAGCUUUCAUUCGGUGCCUGGACUCAUACAGUCUUGUGACACACAGGAAGCUGGGACGCCCGUGCAGCUGUGUGAAGACAGCAGGUUGGUCUUCUGCCCUGCGACUCCCCUUUUGUCCCCAGAUCGGGAGUCCAGCCAGUUGCCCAGACCCCUUCCUUCCCUCUCUCUCCUGGGCAGCUCGGGUGUGGUACAGCGCUCUCGACGUGGCCCACGGCAUGUGGCACCACCCUGAGAAUUGCAGUGACUUCCACUUCUGUCUCAGCACCACUCGAGUGGAUGGGAAGGAGCUGCCCCCCAUUAACUGUAGACCCGGGUGGGCCACUUGGGCUCCAUGGGGUAGGUGUGGUGGCUGGCACACAGACUGCGAGGGGCGGGGCCCGAACCUUCUGAGUUCCUGUGAGCUUCUGGUGCCUGCCCUGCUCCCACUUGCAUUCACCUUGUGGGCCAGUAGCUCAGUGCCGCUUUCAGGCUGGGGCCAGAACACGUUCCGGUCCACGUUUCCGUGGCUCCGAGCUCUUUGGUCAGCUUGCAUUUUCUUCCUUCCUCCCGUCUCCAGAUACUUCAGCCUUUGUGACCCACGUGCCAGGCCCUGUAAAACUGGAGGGAGGGUUCCGAGCCCUGGGCCGCAGCCACAUGAGCAUGUGGUACGGCUUUUUCUAUUCACCUGAUUGAGCGCAGGGGCUAGAGGACAGGUUGCCAGCCUGUGCCCGUGGUUACGAGGCCUGAGUUGUCCUGGUCCCGUGCUCUGUGAGAAGGCCCAUCUGGCUGACCGCUGAUGCCCACACGUGCACUGUGGCAACCGUGCAAAGGAUGGAAAAGUGUAUGGGGAUCAGGCACAGAGAACUGCCCGAAGGCCACUUCCCAGAGGCCUGCGUGCUUGUCGUUUGGUGUGCGUUCCCCAGUUCUUUGCCCAUACCUUUCUGUCUGUCCUUUCAAGCUCGUGCUGUGUUACAGUGAUGGUAAGUAUCAGUCCUUUGGGUAUACCGUAAGUAUCCCGAAAGUUUCCUCGGAAAAUUAAUCUACUAUCUCCUGGCUCUGCAGCUCACUGUGGAGCCUGGUGGGUUCCAGCCUCUCCCCACUUGAGCCCCACACACAAAUCCUCAUACUUUGAACCCAGGGGUAUUUUUUGUCCUGCAGCGUGAGCGUGGGACGUCUUCCUGAAGGCACCCUGCCCGUGGAGUUGAUUGGCCUCUGGUAUCACUGCAAGCCAGGCACCGUCCAGCAGCCCUCGGACUGUCUGGGUAUUCUCGUUUCCCCAGUGGUUAGUCACCCAGGACGUGGCCGUAGGUCCCUGUGUGAAAGGCUGGGGGAUCCUUCCAUCUCCUGCUUGCUGAGGCGCUGUGGCAUCCUUCCCCCUGGGGUCCCAGCCACCACUCUGGUCACCGUGCUCUAGCUCUAGCAACUGGCACGGUGACAGACACUGGGCCGUGGAUCCUGACUUGUUGGUUGUGGUGCCUGCCCUUAGCCUGCUGCGCAUUCACCCUCGCUCUCUUUGUCCGUUUUGAGCUGUAUCUGUGUGGGCUACACAUUCACUGAAGGCCCUGCCCCCAUCACUCGGCAUUCUCGGCCAUGUGAUCGUCCUAGUCCCCUGCUUCUGACCGCUUGGUCCUGCUUAGUGCUAACGCCUGAGCUCUGCUGCCGCUCCUGCUGCCGGGGAGGUGGAGGGGACAACCCAUCAGGCCCUGUUCUCGGUGAGCCUCGCUCUGUGAAAGGCUCUCCUGUGAUUGGACCUGGCUUGCGGAAGAGAUAGGAAAGAGCAGGAGGAGGAGGGACAAGAGGGCAGGCAGGAGCAGCAGUGGCCCUUUCACAGGCCGUGUUCUCAGUGACCAAAUCCUGUGACAGGCUCUCCUGAGGUCAGCCCCGAUGGGCAGAGGAGCCCCUCCUCCCCCAGGCCCCGAGCUGCCCGAUGGUGCCAGUGCCCUCUCUCCAGUCCAUGCGUGAUGAUGGCCUUGGAGCUCUCCGGAACAGAAUUCCUCCAGGGGUGGUUUUGCCUGCACUUCCCUGUCCAGUCCCCCACAGGCCCACUUCUCUCAGGCUUUGAAGCCCUUCCGUUACCAUCUGCCAUGGCCACGGAGGCCUUUCAGGAUCACUCAGCAGGGACCACGGCCGUUUCCAGGCUUCCAGGUCCCGUGCCUACAUGGAGAGUGCCCCCUCCUAGCAUUAGGUUUGGACCCUCUCCUGGGGGCCCUGCGGCCCGCUAAGAUCUGUUGCCCAGUGGGUAGCCUCCUGUCCUUCAUGUCAUCUUAGACUGCAGCCCCUCAUCAGGUAGCUCCGAGUCUCACCCUGCAGAGAC